rnacentral:lncRNA from 1 species
UUUGAUCAACAUCGUCCGAUGACUGCCCCUCUCCACCCUAGCUGCUGACGAUCACCCUCUACUCUCUGCUUCUUGGAGUUUGAUUUCUUUAGAUUCCACAUAUGAGUGAUGUCAUGUGGUAUUUGUCUUCAGGUGCUUGACUUGCUUCACUCAGCAUAAUGUCCUCCAGCUUCCUCUAUGUUGGUGUAAGUGGCAGGAUUUCCUUCUUUCUUUUAAGGCUGAAUGCAUGUAUGCAUGCUUAAUUGCUCAGAGGUGUCUGACUCUUUUUGACCCUAUGGACUGUAGUCUGCCAGGCUCCUCUGUCUAUGGGAUUCUCCAGGGAAGAACUGGAGUGGGUUGCCAUUUCCUCCUUCAUGGGAUCUUCCCGACCCAGGGCAAACUCAUGUCUUCCGCAUUGCAGGCAGAUUCUUUACCACUGAUCUGUUGGGGAAGCCCUACAGCUGAAUACUCUUCACUUAUCAACACCUCUCUCUCUCUCUCUAGUUCAUCCAUCCAUCCGUCUCUACUGAGCUUCACAUUUUCUCCAGCCAGUCCUCUGAGCAUGGAUGUUUUCUUACCAUUGGGCAUCAGUUCCAUCACCAGCAUUGGCUGCAACACCAGGAGGGCACUGAACUCACUGAGAUCCUCAGAGCCACACAGAUGAACAGGGAGAGGAUGGAGAGGUAGACCUGGAGCCGCUUCCCACCAAACCGCUUCCUCAGGUAUUCCGGCAUAGUCGUCACCUGCAAGACAGACACCAGCAGGGAUUCAUCUUCAGGGCCCCAUACGUUCAGUUGAUCCAACAUGGAUCAAGCCUCUGUGGACAGGUAACUGCGUGUGGCAGUCACCCUUGAGGGGGUAUCACCCCCAAAGUGGGGAGACAUGAGUGAGAAGGCACAGCCCCUGGGGAAACUGUGAGUCUGGGAUGAACAUGGGCCUUGGACUCAGCAUUCUUGGGAUCUGUUCCCAGAUUGUGACCUUUGGCAAAUGACAAUCUCUCUGAACCUUUGUUUUCUCACCUGUAAUGUGGGGCUUUAAUAUGGAAGUAAGUGUAAAAUACCUACCACAACACCAAAUGAAAGGUGAUGCUCAAGAGGUAAUAUUUAUUAUUUUCACUGACAAUGUUGCAGUCUAGCAAAAACAACAUAAAUGAUCGACUGCAAUUAUGGUUACAUGAUAAAUAGAUAAUUGAAUAAAUUGCUAAUAUACUUCUGUAUGUACAUUCAUAUGAUUAUCU